GGGGGGAUAACCCGGGGAAACUCGGGCUAAUACCGCAUACGUCCUACGGGACAAAGCAGGGGACCUUUUGGCCUUGCGCUGAUGGAUGAGCUCGCGUCGGAUUAGCUUGUUGGUGAGGUAAAGGCUCACCAAGGCGACGAUCCGUAGCUGGUCUGAGAGGAUGAUCAGCCACACCGGGACUGAGACACGGCCCGGACUCCUACGGGAGGCAGCAGUGGGGAAUCUUGGACAAUGGGGGCAACCCUGAUCCAGCCAUGCCGCGUGUGUGAAGAAGGCCUUCGGGUUGUAAAGCACUUUCAGUANGGAGGAAGGCUUNCGGGUUAAUACCCGAGAGUACUUUGACGUUACCUACAGAAGAAGCACCGGCUAAUUUCGUGCCAGCAGCCGCGGUAAUACGAAANGGUGCAAGCGUUAAAUCGGAANUUACUGGGGCGUAAAGCGCCGCGUU
rnacentral:rRNA from 1 species